rnacentral:lncRNA from 1 species
UAAAGAGAAGGUAUCAUUUACAAACCAAAAAAUUAACGAUUUCGUUUCGCAUAUACAUAAUCUAUAGUAACCAAAAUUAUUUGUUUACUCUACUACAGGAGAUAUGUCCAUCACCAAUUGAACUUAAUUCUGAAGACAUGGAUGAUGCACCUGUCUCAUCUAUCGUUGCUAAGGGAAAAAGGGGUCGGCGAAAGCUACUUUCUGAAUGAUCAUGACCUUUACUUUGAAGGCCGACUGGGAGACCGUGUUGAGAUUAAUUACAUUGCUUCAAUAUAAAACACUGAUACUUAUUCUAUGAAAUUUAAUUACAAUAAUAAUGCUUAAAUGGCUAUAAUUUUUUUG